CCUCUCUGAUUUUCUGAGUUUCCUUUAGAGAAGAGGGUGGUAUGAACACUGACCUUGAUGAUUAAGGAGAGAUGGAGUGGAAUUGUGGAGUGUUUUGCUCUGCUCCAGGCUUUGGAGAUUAAGAGGAUUGAGAUGAGAGCUGAGAUUAACCUCUUCAUUCAUCUGCGACCGAAGCUUUAGCUCAACGAACACAGGACACAUACACAGUUCAUCUGAAACAAAACAAAGACAUUCACUCUUCAUCAGUCCAAGACAGAUGUGGAGGGAUUUGCCACCUAGAGCGAGUGACCUCCCUCACAUUUACAGGAAAGGAAGGAGCGAAAGGAGGAUUACUGAGUAACCUCCCACACUUCAGGCUGUCCGGCAUCCUUCGUCUCUCCGUUCACCAUCCUUCCAUCUGUCCGCUCCAUCCACAUCUCGUAUCUCCAUACUGAUGAAAACCACAGCAAACAUCCACCCCUCUGAAAACAUCAAACAAGAAAAUCGAUCCUUGGAUAUCUGUGGAGGGAUAAUCAAAUCAUCAGAGAGUACAGAUGUUCUCCACAGCUAGCCAGAUGCCUAGAGCACACCAUAGUCAUUUGUGGCUUUGUGCGUUCUCAUGGUGUCAUCAGCCAAUCAACAUUGACAUGCCGUCAUUUCCCUCUGGUUCCAGAACGAUCACUGCAUGACAUUUACGACUCAGGAACACAAGCACUCCGCCUCAUUCGCUUUGCAGAGAGGUGACUCAGUUGUGCCGAUGUGUGAAGAGGAUCUGUAAUUGAUGUUAACCACGCUGGGCGCUCAGCCAGAGCAUUCCACCCAGAUGUCCACAGGUGAUUGGCCAGUGUGACUUGGCAGCUCGGAUCCAACCAAAGGGGAUGCUGUGAGUGACCUUGGCAGAUGGUCAGAGCCCAAGCCGUAUCAGCUGCCUCGAGGCGAUUUUUAACGCAUUUCCCCAUUUAUUCACUCCUUCAUUUUCUGUGUCACUCCCUUCUUUUCUCUGUCAUCUUCCAUCUUUCUGUCCCUCUGUUAGGUGAUUUAUUUAAGGAGAUGAUAUUGCUUCUGACUGUAAUAUCUUCUGAGGGAGAAAGUGUUUCAUUUUUUUUGACACACAUAAGGACUGCUCAUAUAGAAAUGUUAACCCCAGUUUGACCCCUUCAUAAAAUAAAAAAAAAAAAAACCCAACUAAUAAUAAAUUCAGGAAAUGUGUUUUCAUGCAUGUGUGUGCUUGGUACAA